GUGCAGCAGUCGAGAAUAGUCUACAAUGGACGAAAGUCUGAUAGUGCGACGCCGUGUGUGCGAUUAAUUCCUCCGGGAUGUAAAGCACUUUUCUAUGAGAUAAAAAGCUCUUUAGGUUAAUAGCUUAUUGAGACGGAUAUUAUUAUAGGAAUAAAGCUCCGGCUAACUCCGUGCCAGCAGCCGCGGGUAAUACGGAAGGAGCGAGCGUUGUCCGGAUUUACUAGGCGUAAAGGGCUAGUAGGCGACUAAUUAAGUUACAUGUUAAAUCCCACGGCUCAACUGUGGUCCUGCGAUGUAAUACUGGUUAGAUAGAGUACUGUAGA
rnacentral:rRNA from 1 species